rnacentral:rRNA from 1 species
UACGUAGGGGGCAAGCGUUGUCCGGAUUUAUUGGGCGUAAAGAGCGUGUAGGCGGCCAGGCAGGUCCGCUGUGAAAACUCGAGGCUCAACCUCGAGAGGUCGGUGGAAACCGUCUGGCUAGAGUCCGGAAGAGGAGAGUGGAAUUCCCGGUGUAGCGGUGAAAUGCGUAGAUAUCGUAAGGAAGACCAGUGGCGAAGGCGGGUCUCUGGACAGUUCCUGACGCUGAGGCACGAAGGCCAGGGGAGCAAACGGG